UACGUAGGGUGCAAGCGUUAAUCGGAAUUACUGGGCGUAAAGCGUGCGCAGGCGGUUGUGCAAGACAGAUGUGAAAUCCCCGGGCUCAACCUGGGAAUUGCAUUUGUGACUGCACGGCUAGAGUGUGUCAGAGGGGGGUAGAAUUCCACGCGUAGCAGUGAAAUGCGUAGAGAUGUGGAGGAAUACCGAUGGCGAAGGCAGCCCCCUGGGAUAACACUGACGCUCAUGCACAGAAAGCGUG
rnacentral:rRNA from 1 species